ACUUCCUCGAGUUUCUCGAAGACGACCGGGUUGUACUGCAGAUUGUUCGCCUUGAAGUAGUCGGCGAGGUUCAGCUCGGUCGUCGUGCCGGUCUG
rnacentral:sRNA from 1 species